GGCAACCCCAAUCUGCAUAGCAAUUAGCAGAGGGGAUUCCGUGAGAAAGAUAAUGGAAUGCGUAGCAACCACCUCCACUGAAGAUGGACAAACACCAUCAUCAACAAUGAGUAAACGAGGGGGGUGGACGGCCUUUCCUUUUGUUGUUUUUCCAGGUCUGCAAAAUAUCGCCGCCUAUGAAAAAGGAGCAAACCGCAGAUCAGUUUCCCAACUCUCUACUAAAUCUCAACCAGGUCCCCAAGCUAUCUAUUUUCUCAACUGGGUCACCAAAUUAUUCCUUUGUCUAUAUCUGUUGAUAUCUCGAUCUAGAUUACAUCCAUUAUGCUAUAGAAAAAGGCAUUUUUGGGUAAAAUAGAACCUUUUCGGUAAAAAAUGGAAAGAUGUUAAACAGGAGGCUUGAUUUAGAAAUGUAUGAUGCGUUAAGGACCCGAAUGAAGAAAUUGAUAUUUUUGGUGACUCAAUUCAGGAUUUUAUGUUUUGGUCUUGCAAUAAAAAUUUUAAGAAAAUGUAUUUAGGAGCAAAAGAGAAAACGAUACUGUUCUUCGUGGGAUCUAGAAUACACUUGAGGAUUGUCAGAAAAUCAAUAUAUCCAACUAAAAAAAAAAUUAAGCGACUAUCAGUUAAGCUAUUAAUAAGAUGAACAGCUCCUUUUACCUUGUGUAUUAAUUAAGCUCAUGAUUUUUUUACGAGUGAAGAGGGAUUUAUAUAUGUUUUUCCUCCAUAAAUCAAUAAAUAUCACCAGAUUAAUUUCAUAUAUUAUGAUCCUUUAACCCUCUUAAUUAAAUUCUUGAAAUCCAUCAUUACUUGAUUUCAAAUACGUGCAUUGAAGCUUUGAACAUUCUUAAUUAUAACUUUGUGUGUAGUUAGUAAAGUCAUUCAAUCAUAUUAUUUAGCUUUUCAGGGCGUGACCAUGUUAUCUUUAGCAUCAACAAUCCAUUCCCUGAGACCCGUACCAUGUGCUGUUGGUUCGCAUGCCUGUGAAACCCCAUCACAGCUUCAAUAUGCAUUUCUCGAUGUGGCACUAGCACUUUCCUCGCUAGGGCUUGGAGGCACACGCCUCACAAUUGCAACAAUGGGAGCAGAUGAAUUUGAUCAGCCAAAUAACCAAGGAACGUUCUUCAGUUGGUAUUUCUUUGCGUUAUAUCUCGCCAGUGCCAUGCAUGAGCUUCACCACAAUCAUCUAAAUUCAGGAUAGUGUUAGCUGGGGAUUAGGGUUUGGCAUCCGUGUCAUUUCCAAUGCCGUUGGCUUAGCAGUACUGUUUUUUGUUGGGAAAAUGGUUUUUUCGGCAUUCUCAUCCCUAGGGAAGUCCUUUCAUGAGCAUUACUCGUGUAUUGUUUUUAUCUUGUUCCUGUAUUUUACUUUGACUUUUAAUUUAAUAGCCUUUUCAAUAUA